rnacentral:rRNA from 1 species
UACGAAGGGGGCUAGCGUUGCUCGGAAUCACUGGGCGUAAAGCGCACGUAGGCGGACUCUUAAGUCGGUGGUGAAAUCCUGGAGCUCAACUCCAGAACUGCCUUCGAUACUGAGAGUCUUGAGUCCGGGAGAGGUGAGUGGAACUGCGAGUGUAGAGGUGAAAUUCGUAGAUAUUCGCAAGAACACCAGUGGCGAAGGCGGCUUCCUGGACCGACACUGACGCUGAGGCGCGAAAGCUAGGGGAGCAAACGGG